UACGAAGGGGGCGAGCGUUGUUCGGAAUCACUGGGCGUAAAGGGCGCGUAGGCGGCCCUCCUUGUCGCGUGUGAAAUCCCCGGGCUCAACCUGGGAACUGCAUUUGUGACUGCAUCGCUGGAGUGCGGCAGAGGGGGAUGGAAUUCCGCGUGUAGCAGUGAAAUGCGCAGAUAUCAGGAGGAACACCAAUUGCGAAGGCAGCUCGCUGGGACGUUACUGACGCUGAGACGCGAAAGCGUGGGGAGCAAACAGG
rnacentral:rRNA from 1 species